rnacentral:tRNA from 1 species
UCCGUACUGGUGUAUCGGUAACAUUUCCGCCUCUCAGCAGAUCGCGGUAGCGCAGGGUUCGACUCCCUGGUACGGAA